UUGGAAUGAGGUACUUCACACUCAGCUUAAAUCUUGCUUUCAUUUACAGUUGUCCCAUGUUCUUAAUUAAGCCCACCUGGCAGAAGCUGAAAGUCAGCAAACCAGGAUCUCUGUUCUGGAAUUACAGUGGACUUGGCCUGAGUCUUUGUGGUACCAAUCCGUGAUUAACACCAGAUGGAGUUGCCAGUGGCCAGUGACUCACUGGAUUGCAUCCACAUUUGUUCUGAACUCAAUUGGAGAGGGACAAUACCACACUCACAAAAAGCCACUAGCUACUUAUCAAACCAAUAAAACCAGAAAGUGUCUCUUAAACUUCCUGGCA
rnacentral:lncRNA from 1 species